rnacentral:sRNA from 2 species
UUUUAACGACUUACAGAACUCACAUGCACCGUCACAUGACUCAGGGUGCCCAAAGGUUUGAUGGUUCAUCGGAAAGAUCAAACCUGCCAGGGGUCGAACUCAUGGGGUGCGUGGAGGCAUAAC